rnacentral:rRNA from 1 species
AACAACUCACCUGCCGAAGCAACCAGCCCUGAAAAUGGAUGGCGCUGUAGCGUCGGGCCUAUACUGGACCGUCAACGGCAAAGCGGGUCGCUGCUUGGCGGGGCAAUCCCGUCGGCCGCGGCCGACAGGCCUUGACGAGUAGGAGGGGCGCGGCGGUGAGCACAGAAGGGACGGGCGUGAGCCUGCCUGGAGCCGCCGCCGGUGCAGAUCUUGGUGGUAGUAGCAAAUACUCUAGCGAGGGCCUGGAGGGCUGAAGUGGAGAAGGGUUUCUUGUGAACAGCCGUUGCACAAGAGUCAGUCGACCCUGAGCCCUAGGAGAAAUCCGAUGUCGAUGGGCAGCGAUAUGCUCGCGACGGGCGAAAGGGAAUCCGGUUCCUAUUCCGGAACCCGGCUGCGCAACCGUGACUCCGCGGGCUUCAGCUCGCGAGAGCUCGUCGGGGCAACCCAAAAAGACCCGGAGACGCCGGCGGGAGGUCCGGAAAGAGUUGUCUUUUCUGUAUAAGCGUUCGAGUUCCCUGGAAUCCUUCAGCAGGGAGAUAGGGUUUGGAACGCGAAGAGCACCGCAGUUGCGGCGGUGUCCGGACCGUCCCCCCGGACCUUGAAAAUCCGGGUGAGGGCUAAACGGUGAUGUCGCGCCGGCUCGUACCCAUAUCCGCAGCAGGUCUCCAAGGUUAAGAGCCUCUAGUCGAUAGAAUAAUGUAGGUAAGGGAAGUCGGCAAA